GGAGUCUGGUCCGUGUCUCAGUACCAGUGUGGGGGACCUUCCUCUCAGAACCCCUACUGAUCGUAGGCCAGGUGGGCCGUUACCCCGCCUGCAACCUAAUCAGACGCAUCCCCAUCCCAUAGCGGUAAACCUUUAUUCCUUGUUAGAUGUCUGCAAAGGAGACCAUCAGGUAUUAAUUCGCCUUUCGGCGGGCUAUCCCUGAGUGGAUGGGAAGGUUGGAUACGCGUUACUCACCCGUGCGCCGGUCGCCAUCUAUCAAAGCAAGCUUCGAUAAUGCUGCCCCUCGACUUGCAUGUGUUAAGCCUGUAGCUAGCGUUCAUC
rnacentral:rRNA from 1 species